rnacentral:tRNA from 1 species
UUUAAUAUGGCAGAUUCAAGUGCCUUGGAUUUAAACUCCAAUUAUAAAGAUUCUACUCAUCUUUUAUUAAUU